rnacentral:rRNA from 1 species
GACGAGGGGCUCGACUGUUAUUCGUUUUGAUUGGGUGUAAAGGGUAAGUAGGCGGUUAACAAAAAUAGUAUUGAGCUAAAGCGCGGAGGGUUCCUACGCGAGAGCUCGAGUCUAAGGGUUGACUAGUGUUGAGCAGAGGUUGAGGCAAUUUAGUACGGAAGAGUAAAAUCUUACAAUGUACGAACGAAAGCCGAGAGCAAAGGCACUUUUCCAGGCUCAACAGACGCUGAGGUACGGAAGCGUAGGGAGCAAACGGG